rnacentral:misc_RNA from 1 species
AACUAAAUGGUGAAAGUAGCUAUCGUCCACCUUCUAUAUCAUCCUAACAAUAACAUUCUUGCCUCAAGAAAAAGCCUUUCAGGAGUUCAAGCACUAAUUCCACUGUUCAAUAAGGUAUUGAUCUCGCCAAUUAUAUGAACAGGCCUUCCAUCAAACAUGGAUGAAAGUGUGCUCUCACAAAGCCUCUUCAGCUCCCUGGUUUUUGCAAGAGCUGCUUCCUGCAAUUUAAACAACAUAAACUCAAUAUUUAUUUGUUGAAAUUCAAUCUUCUGAUAUUUGUCAAUCUGUUUAUAAUUUAUUUUCAGUUAACAAAAAUAGUGUAUUUCAGAAUUUUAUCCCUCUCCAUACAUAAAAAUUAUAAGAUCAAAACAAUAAUACAAGCCCUUCAUAAAAAAUAUGAAUCAGGAUUGAAAUGGACCAGUGUAAUCAAUCCAUAUUGCAUCCGUGCAAGGAAAAACUACAGAAUUUGACUAAAGGAAAUUAAUCCGGUAUAUUUACCUCUUUGCUGAGAAAUUAAGAAAUCACAAAUUAACAUCAUAAGCAAGCCUAUAGUAUAUAUGAAGCAUAUAUCAUCCACUACAAAAUCCCCAAAGAUCAGACAAUACUCCUUUUAGUUAAAGGAUCCUAAAGCUAAGCAAAUAUUGACACAGUCCUUGAUAUCUUACAAAUAUGGUGCAUGGCAACAAUUGGAAAUCAUUCAUCAUUCAGGAAUAAAAAUACAUACAUCAUAUAUAUAUAUAUUACGAUUUUGUUCAUAUACUCCAGAACAACGAAAGUUUGGUAAUGGAUAAGCACUAAUGUACAAGCUAAUCAACUACAGAAGUCCCAACACAAAAGACCUUUUUUCUUUUCUUUUCACGGGACAAAUUGACUUCGAUGUUACAUAACUUCAGGGAUUCAAUGAUCUUUUCUUCAAAAGGUACUUAUUUGAUAAGGGUCCCCACCCAAAAAAAAAAAGAACUCUUAAGAUUUUGGUCAGACAUUAUCGCUUUACAUUAAUGUUCAUUUCUAUGUGUUCCUUAAUUUUGAUUAUGUUUCCUACUUAAGACAUAAUUGGGCUACAGAUAGAAAAGAGAGACUCAUGGAUACUGGUCCAAAAUUAAAAACUAUUAAACAUAUUGUUCUUUCUUUUGCUUCUAUCUGGAAGAACUGAAAGGGCUAAAAGAAAAUCAAAGCAAGAGAAUUUAUGAAGGGUGAAGAGAGCAACCUGAAGAACAAAAGCAUAACACUCAAUACGAGAGUAUAAAUACUUUUUUCUGGAAGCACAACCAAUAAUAUAUAUAAAAAUAACCUGCUUUGGCCAUGAUGAAGAUAAAGAAUUGUGAAGUUCCAUGCGUUUAGCAGCCAAGUCCUUCAAUCCCUCUUUUAACUUCAGCUCGUGAUGCUUCUUUUCCUCCAAUGUACUUACUAGUCUGUCCAGAAAU